rnacentral:rRNA from 1 species
UACGUAGGGCGCAAGCGUUAUCCGGAAUUAUUGGGCGUAAAGAGCUCGUAGCGGUUUGUCGCGUCUGCCGUGAAAGUCCGGGGCUCAACUCCGGAUCUGCGGUGGGUACGGGCAGACUAGAGUGAUGUAGGGGAGACUGGAAUUCCUGGUGUAGCGGUGAAAUGCGCGAUAUCAGGAGGAACACCGAUGGCGAAGGCAGGUCUCUGGGCAUUGAACUGACG